AGACCAAACACAGCUGUUUGUGAUUACUGGAAAAGUCGUGUAUUUAAUCAUUUAGUUUAGAUUAAUUUCAUUGUAAGGCUGUAUCAAUCCGAUUAUAUAUGCCUAUUUUAUAGUACAAAUGCCUUCUUCAAAACCACAAAUAUUUGAAUGGGGGCUCAGUGUAAGUUUGGUUUGUGAAACACUAGCGCCCUCUGGAGGAAGACAACUUUCAUUAGGAAAUGGUUAUGAAGUAGCAGAAUUGUUGUCGCAAACCAGCUCUAAAGUUUCCUGACCCCGUUGUUUAGUUUGUUUCUAGCGGGAAAUGACCCCUGCUUUAAUUAAACGCGGUAGGACUGAUUGUCUCUCGUUUAUGUGGACUUAGUAUAAGGAUGAAAUGUUCCCAUCAUCAGCUGACAAUUCAGGGAAAUGCUACCAGUCAGCCAUUAUUUGGAUCGUUUGCAUCCUCUGAGUCCUUGGGAGACCAAAGGCUCUGACAGGUA